UACGUAGGGUGCGAGCGUUGUCCGGAAUUAUUGGGCGUAAAGAGCUCGUAGGCGGUGUGUCGCGUCGGCCGUGAAAAACCUGGGGCUCAACUCUGGGCGUGCGGUCGAUACGGGCAUCACUUGAGUUCGGCAGGGGAGACUGGAAUUCCUGGUGUAGCGGUGAAAUGCGCAGAUAUCAGGAGGAACACCGGUGGCGAAAGGCGGGGUCUCUGGGGCCGAUACUGACUGAGGAGCGAAAGCAUGGGGUAGC
rnacentral:rRNA from 1 species